GACGAACGCUGGCGGCGUGCUUAACACAUGCAAGUCGAACGGAAAGGCCCUGCUUUUGUGGGGUGCUCGAGUGGCGAACGGGUGAGUAACACGUGAGUAACCUGCCCUUGACUUUGGGAUAACUUCAGGAAACUGGGGCUAAUACCGGAUAGGAGCUCCUGCUGCAUGGUGGGGGUUGGAAAGUUUCGGCGGUUGGGGAUGGACUCGCGGCUUAUCAGCUUGUUGGUGGGGUAGUGGCUUACCAAGGCUUUGACGGGUAGCCGGCCUGAGAGGGUGACCGGCCACAUUGGGACUGAGAUACGGCCCAGACUCCUACGGGAGGCAGCAGUGGGGAAUAUUGCACAAUGGGCGGAAGCCUGAUGCAGCAACGCCGCGUGCGGGAUGACGGCCUUCGGGUUGUAAACCGCUUUCGCCCGUGACGAAGCGUGAGUGACGGUAAUGGGUAAAGAAGCACCGGCUAACUACGUGCCAGCAGCCGCGGUGAUACGUAGGGUGCGAGCGUUGUCCGGAUUUAUUGGGCGUAAAGGGCUCGUAGGUGGUUGAUCGCGUCGGAAGUGUAAUCUUGGGGCUUAACCCUGAGCGUGCUUUCGAUACGGGUUGACUUGAGGAAGGUAGGGGAGAAUGGAAUUCCUGGUGGAGCGGUGGAAUGCGCAGAUAUCAGGAGGAACACCAGUGGCGAAGGCGGUUCUCUGGGCCUUUCCUGACGCUGAGGAGCGAAAGCGUGGGGAGCGAACAGGCUUAGAUACCCUGGUAGUCCACGCUGUAAACGGUGGGUACUAGGUGUGGGGUCCAUUCCACGGGUUCCGUGCCGUAGCUAACGCUUUAAGUACCCCGCCUGGGGAGUACGGCCGCAAGGCUAAAACUCAAAGGAAUUGACGGGGCCCCGCACAAGCGGCGGAGCAUGCGGAUUAAUUCGAUGCAACGCGUAGAACCUUACCUGGGUUUGACAUGGAUCGGGAGCGCUCAGAGAUGGGUGUGCCUCUUUUGGGGUCGGUUCACAGGUGGUGCAUGGCUGUCGUCAGCUCGUGUCGUGAGAUGUUGGGUUAAGUCCCGCAACGAGCGCAACCCUUGUUCACUGUUGCCAGCACGUUAUGGUGGGGACUCAGUGGAGACCGCCGGGGUCAACUCGGAGGAAGGUGGGGAUGACGUCAAGUCAUCAUGCCCCUUAUGUCCAGGGCUUCACGCAUGCUACAAUGGCUGGUACAGAGAGUGGCGAGCCUGUGAGGGUGAGCGAAUCUCGGAAAGCCGGUCUCAGUUCGGAUUGGGGUCUGCAACUCGACCUCACGAAGUCGGAGUCGCUAGUAAUCGCAGAUCAGCAACGCUGCGGUGAAUACGUUCCCGGGGCU
rnacentral:rRNA from 1 species